ensembl:lncRNA
GAGCCAAUCAGAGCCUCUCACGGAGAAGCUAUAAAAGCUCAGUGCGGCCUGCUUUGGGUGCCACCACGCUUCUUUCUAGGCGGUAUCUGUUCACCUGUACCUGCGUCCCUAGCAGCUUGGGAGCCCUGCCAGUGCCCCUGGAACUGAACUCCCAGGUGGUGCCAACAGCCCCAGGCCCCACCCUGCUGCAGAUCGCGAGACCAUCGCCUUCUUCAAACCGCUGCUGGUUUUUCCUGACCUUCUGCCCCACGCACAGAAGGGACUGAGCCUCAGUGUCUUCAUCUGUGAAAUGGAGCCAAGAUUCCUACCUCACGGCCAUCACCUGUGCUUUCGAGUGGAAAGAGGACAGCUUCGGAAUCACGGGGACUUGGUCCAGAUCUCAGUGUUGCCACUGGGCAAGUCUAUCUUUCUGGGCUCCGGUUUCUUGUUUGCAGAGAGGGGAGAGUGGAGGCCACUUCUCCAGAGUUGUGAGAACUGGAGUCAACUCCAUCCUUGGCGGUGGCACGUGCUCUGCAAAUGGCAGCAGAUGGUGCCGGUGCCGAGAGGAGAUGUCAGUGUCCCCGUUUCUCAGGCUAGGAAACGGAGGCUCCAAGAGGAGGUUCAAGUGAAUGGUGAGGCUGGGUUGGCCCCAGCCCGUCUGAUGCACACAUAUCCCACUGCCCGCUGAGCCUCUUUCCCUCCUUGAUUGACCCGGAGGAAGCGUUUGCUCCUGGAGGGGCCCAGCCGUCCUCACACAUUGGCCAGAGGCUGGGGGUGACCGUGGCUGACGUGGCAUUUGCUGUCUUUCCCCGGAGCUGCAGUGACAAGCUAACAACUGUUACCAGGAGUCCUGCUUCCCACCACCAGCGAGGGAGAGACGUUGAUGGCAUCCGGAGGGUGGGCCUGGGGCGUUUGAACCCCAGCAUCCAGACUGGCCAGGGUUGGGGGGUGAGCUGGUUGGGGGGGUGAGCUGGCUCCCUCCAGCCCCGGAUCAUUUGAAUCACUCCUCUGGUGCCCAGCCCAUGUUUGUUUUGUCUUUCUGGGUUUCAGCCCUUUGGCCAGUGGGAGGUUAAAGAUUACUGAGGCAGCUGACAAUAAAGUGCCCGGCACACUGGCC